GCAGAGGUCACGGUGGUGCUGUAAAUUCCACCAGCUCCAGUUGUCAGCUCUGGGCCCCAGGAGGAGACCUGGGGCUGGCUGUGAGAGGGAGCCAGGCUGCCCGUGGGCGACAGAACCACGGCUUGUUCCUCAGUCAGUGCUGCACAAACUGCAUCGUGUCUUUUACAAUAUGUUCUGCUCCAGCCAGUGAAUUUUCUUCAACUGGCCAGUGAAAGAAAAAUUAAAAUGAAAAAGGAAAGUGAAGAAAUUAAUUAUACCAGAUUUCAGCGAAGGUAAUACAGUGAUCUUAAAUACCUUUUUUCUUUUUUUUUUCUUUUUUUUUUUUGUUAUACAAUAAAGCUAUUGGCAAGAACCUGAAGCA
rnacentral:lncRNA from 1 species